AGUUUUCUGCGCAGGAUUCAUUAAUUAUGUCAUACAUCUUUUUUCCAAAAAAUCUUCAACAGAAGAUGCCUAAGUGAUUUAGUUCAUUUGUAAAAACUUCAUCAUGAACAACCUAGAAUUUCUUCUGUUCACUUUCCUAAUACUUGCCACUAAAUAUGAAUCUGCAAGAUGAGUUCGAUUUGCGUUGUUACAUCUUCCACUAGGAGUUGGACUCCUGAU
rnacentral:lncRNA from 1 species